rnacentral:tRNA from 1 species
UGGGUUCUGGCUCAGCGGUAGAGCACUCACCUAGCCAAGUGCGAGGUGCUGGGUUUGAUCCUCAGCACCACAU